rnacentral:rRNA from 1 species
AUGUGAUCGUCUCUCGCAUAUCAAUAAGCGGAGGAAAAGAAACUAACAAGGAUUCCCCUAGUAACGGCGAGUGAAGCGGGAAGAGCUCAAAUUUGAAAUCUUAAAGGGUUUCCCUUUACGAAUUGUAGUUUAAAGAAGUGUUUUCUGUUGAGGUUUUGGUAAAAGUUCUUUGGAAUAGGACAUCAUAGAGGGUGAGAAUCCCGUAUUUGACCUUUACUUUCAACUUUGUGAUACACUUUCAAAGAGUCGGAUUGUUUGGGAAUGCAGUCCAAAAUGGGUGGUAAAUUUCAUCUAAAGCUAAAUAUUGGCGAGAGACCGAUAGCGAACAAGUACCGUGAGGGAAAGAUGAAAAGAACUUUGAAAAGAGAGUUAAACAGUACGUGAAAUUGUCAAAAGGGAAGCGUUUGACACCAGUGUUGUUUUUCUGAAAAUCAAUUAAAGAACUGUUUAUGCUAAGCUGUUUAGACUUUAUCAGCUAUCUGUUUAGUUUUGAGCUUUUCUUUAAUGCACUUUUCAGUUAACAAGUCAACAUCAAUUUCUUUUGCUGUAAAAAAGCUUGAGGAAGGUGGCUUGAGAUUCGUCUUAAGUGUUUAUAGCCUCUUGCCUAUGCAGUCGGAGAGAUUGAGGUCUGCAGCGUAGACCCUUCGGGGCUAAAUGCAUUUGUGCUAAGUUAUAGCAUUUUAUAGACAACUUGUUGACUAUGAUUUGUCUUGUAGCUUACUCGCUUAUGUUAUUUUACCUACGCUUAGGAUGUUGAUCUGUAGUGCGUGCGC